GUGGGGAAUUUUGGACAAUGGGCGCAAGCCUGAUCCAGCGACGCCGCGUGGAGGACGAAGGCCUUCGGGUUGUAAACUCCUUUUGGAGGGGAAGAAUAAAUUGACGGUACCCUCAGAAAAAGCCACGGCUAACUACGUGCCAGCAGCCGCGGUAAUACGUAGGUGGCGAGCGUUACUCGGAAUUACUAGGCGUAAAGCGUAUGUAGGUGGUUAGAUAAGUCUAUGGUGAAAUUUCCUGGCUUAACUGGGAAGGGACAUAGAUACUAUCUGGCUUGAGUGGGGGAGGGGGAGACGGAAUUCCUGGUGUAGCGGUGAAAUGCGUAGAUAUCAGGAGGAACACCGAUGGCGAAAGCAGUCUCCUGGCCCAAUACUGACACUGAGGUACGAAAGCUAGGGUAGCAAACAGGAUUAGAAACCCGUGUAGUCC
rnacentral:rRNA from 1 species